rnacentral:rRNA from 1 species
GAUGAACGCUGGCGGCGUGCCUAAUACAUGCAAGUAGAACGCUGAAGGAGGAGCUUGCUCUUCUGGAUGAGUUGCGAACGGGUGAGUAACGCGUAGGUAACCUGCCUGGUAGCGGGGGAUAACUAUUGGAAACGAUAGCUAAUACCGCAUGACAACAGUUAUUGCAUGAUAACUGUUUAAAAGGGGCAACUGCUCCACUACCAGAUGGACCUGCGUUGUAUUAGCUAGUUGGUGAGGUAACGGCUCACCAAGGCGACGAUACAUAGCCGACCUGAGAGGGUGAUCGGCCACACUGGGACUGAGACACGGCCCAGACUCCUACGGGAGGCAGCAGUAGGGAAUCUUCGGCAAUGGACGGAAGUCUGACCGAGCAACGCCGCGUGAGUGAAGAAGGUUGUCGGAUCGGAAAGCUCUGUUGUAAGAGAAGAACGAGUGUGAGAGUGGAAAGUUCACACUGUGACGGUAUCUUACCAGAAAGGGACGGCUAACUACGUG